UUCCCUGUCUCCUGCCCUGCCGGGGGAGGAGGUGCAGCUGGGAGCAGGGAGCCGUGGGGAAAGCUGCAUUUAAGGCUCUGCACUGACUUCUCCUCAUCCUGCUCUGAGUCUUUGGAGUUUUCUGCCAGAAAUCUCUCCCCUCCCCCGCUCACCCACAGGGCUUUGGGCAGGUUUCCCUUUUUGGGGGAAAUCAAAGCGAAGCAGCGAUGCACUAAUGAGGGGCAGGAGAAGUGAGGCUCCCGGGCUUCCCGCAGAGCCGGAGGCACGGAAGGCGCAGGGCCGGGAAAGCCGUGGCGGGAGGUGCGGAGAAGUUUGUUUGUGUGGGCAGCUCAAUCCCGCCUCGGGCCCGGGCCCGUCCCGGGGCUGUUGCUCAUCUCCGGCUUUGCCCUCACGCAGCGCGGGGGGCCCUGAGAGCGCGGGGCGAGUCUGGGCCGUGCGCAGAGCCCGCCCCCAGCUCGCUGCCAUUGGCCGCUGGUGCCGUCAGUCGCGGUUGCGGCGCGCUGAUUGGUGGGAGCGGGGCGCAGCACGGCCCCGGCGGCGGGCUGAGGGCGGCCGUGGGCGGGCAGCGGCGCCAUUGGCGCCAGGAGCGUCUGUGCGGGCCCGGGAGCGGCGGCAGCGGCCGGAGCGCGGUGAGGCGGCGUCGGCGGAGCUCGGAGGCGGCCCCGGCGCAGCACUGAGCUGCAGACAGAGACCAGGGAGAACAAAUCCCUGCCACAGAACCUCAUGGAAGAGGCCAUUUGGAACGGCUCCACGGCGCAGGAAUCCAACAGGGAGGAAAAAAGAUCCCACACAAGGAGGGGCUGCAAACCCAGCCCGGGGAGCUGUGAGGAGGGAAAACCCUCCCUGUGCUGGGAAGGGUGUGCGGAAUGUGAGAAGAGCUUAAGGCAGAGCUCAGCCUACUCCUGGCACCUGCAAAGAUGGCGGUGCUGGAUGCAGAGAUCCAAGGGGAUGCAGAGAUCCCCCUGCAGAUCCAAGGGGAUGCAGAGAUUCCCCUGCAGAUCCAUGGGGAUGCAGAGAUCUCCCUGCAUAUCCCUGGAGAUGCAGAGAUCCCCCUGCAGAUCCAUGGGUGUAAUAUAUGAUUUAAAAUAAAUUCGUGCUCAGCACUAAAAAAAAUAUGGUAUCUUUUAAAAUGGAAUCAAGUGACAAGAAAGAGCAAUAUACACAAGAUUAAUUCCUGCCUCAGAGGAUGGUUAUUCUGAAAGAUUAUUCAAUCUAGAAGAUAACCAUUGAAUGAUAAGAUGAAUAGUUGUUGCCAAACAAGAUAUUCGAGAGGAAUACCAUCUAACAAGAUUUCAGCAAUAAAAACUCUGCACAAGGAAAGAACAUGCAUUAAUAUGUGGAAAGGGGCAAGAUAGACGAGAGGGAACAGGAAGACCACCUGGAAUCCUGCUACAUCUGAAAACAGUAUAAAGAAGACCCUGCAGAAUCAAUACGUUGUGGACUGCCAGCGUUACAGGGCUGCAUAGCCUGAACCCAGUUCACCCAGCAACAAUUGCCUGGCUCGGCACUGUUUUACUUACAGCUUUUGCAAUUUUUAUUUUGACUUGAUUUAAUAAAUUCCUCUAAUUA